rnacentral:rRNA from 1 species
ACGAACGCUGGCGGUGUGCUUAACACAUGCAAGUCGAACGAGAACGUUUCCUUCGGGAAGCUAGUAAAGUGGCGCAAGGGUGAGUAACACGUGAAUAAUCUGCCCCUCGAGAUCGGGAUAACUUGGCGAAAGCUAGGCUAAUACCGGAUAAGACCACGUUUCAUAAGAAAUGCGGAAAAAAGGAGUCUCAAUCUUCACUCGAGGAUGAGUUCGCGGACCAUUAGCUUGUUGGUGAGAUAAAAGCUCACCAAGGCUACGAUGGAUAGCCGACCUGAGAGGGUGAUCGGCCACACUGGAACUGAGACACGGUCCAGACUCCUACGGGAGGCAGCAGUGGGGAAUAUUGCGCAAUGGGACGAAAGCCUGACGCAGCAACACCGUGUGAGCGAUG